rnacentral:rRNA from 1 species
UAGUACCCCGUAUGCUUUCGAGUGAAAUGGAUUUAUAUUUAUUCGCCUAGAGAGAAGCUCGCGGCUGAUUAGCUUGUUGGUAAGGUAAGAGCUUACCAAGGCGACGAUCAGUAUCUGGUUUGAGAGGACGAUCAGACACACUGGAACUGAGACACGGUCCAGACUCCUACGGGAGGCAGCAGUGGGGAAUUUUCCGCAAUGGGCGAAAGCCUGACGGAGCAAUACAGCGUGAGGGAAGACUGCCUAUGGGUUGUAAACCUCUUUUUUCAGGGAGGAAUAAAUGACGUGUACCUGAAGAAUAAGCAUCGGCUAACUCCGUGCCAGCAGCCGCGGUAAGACGGAGGAUGCAAGUGUUAUCCGGAAUCACUGGGCGUAAAGCGUCUGUAGGUGGUUUAAUAAGUCAACUGUUAAAUCUUGAGGCUCAACCUCAAAAUCGCAGUCGAAACUAUUAGACUAGAGUAUAGUAGAGGUAAAGGGAAUUUCCAGUGGAGCGGUGAAAUGCGUAGAUAUUGGAAAGAACACCGAUGGCGAAAGCACUUUACUGGGCUAUUACUAACACUCAGAGACGAAAGCUAGGGUAGCAAAUGG